AACGAACGCUGGCGGCGUGCUUAACACAUGCAAGUCGAGCGAGAAAGGGAGCUUCGGCUCCUGAGUAAAGCGGCGCACGGGUGAGUAACACGUGGGUAACCUGCCUUUCAGUGGGGGAUAACAGUUCGAAAGGGCUGCUAAUACCGCAUUCGUCCACACGGUCACAUGUCUGUGUGGAGAAAGAGGCGCAAGUCUCGCUGGAAGAUGGGCCCGNGGUCCAUUAGCUAGUUGGUGGGUAAAGGCCUACCAAGGCUUCGAUGGAUAGCUGGUCUGAGAGGAUGAUCAGCCACACUGGAACUGAGACACGGUCCAGACUCCUACGGAGGCAGCAGUGGGGAAUAUUGCGCAAUGGGCGAAAGCCUGACGCAGCAACGCCGCGUGUGUGAUGAAGGCCUCGGUUGUAAGUACGACUAGUUC
rnacentral:rRNA from 1 species